GACGGAGGGUGCAAGUGUUAUCCGGAAUCACUGGGCGUAAAGCGUCUGUAGGUGGUUUAAAAAGUCCACUGUUAAAGGUUGAAGCUUAACUUCAAAAAUGCUGUGGAAACUUUUAAACUAGAGUAUGGUAGGGGUAGAGGGAAUUUCCAGUGGAGCGGUGGAAUGCGUAGAUAUUGGAAAGACCACCAAUGGCGAAGGCACUCUACUGGGCCAUUACUGACACUGAGAGACGAAAGCUAGGGGAGCGAAUGGG
rnacentral:rRNA from 1 species